UACGUAGGGGGCUAGCGUUGUCCGGAAUCAUUGGGCGUAAAGAGCGUGUAGGCUGCUCGGUAAGUCCGCUGUAAAAGUCAAAAGGCUCAACCUUUGAAUGUCAGUGGAUACUGCCGGGCUAGAGUCCGGAAGAGGAGAGUGGAAUUCCCGGUGUAGCGGUGAAAUGCGCAGAUAAUCGGGAAGAACACCCGUGGCUAAGGCGGCUACUCUAGUACGGUACUGACGCUGAGACGCGAAAGCGUGGGGAGCGAACAGG
rnacentral:rRNA from 1 species